UACGUAGGGUGCAAGCGUUGUCCGGAAUUAUUGGGCGUAAAGAGCUCGUAGGCGGCUCAGUAAGUCGGGUGUGAAACCCUCAGGCUCAACCUGGGGACGCCACUCGAUACUGCUGUGGCUAGAGUCCAGUAGAGGAGUGUGGAAUUCCCGGUGUAGCGGUGAAAUGCGCAGAUAUCGGGAGGAACACCAACGGCGAAGGCAGCACUCUGGGCUGGAACUGACGCUGAGGAGCGAAAGCGUGGGUAGCAAACAGG
rnacentral:rRNA from 1 species